UCAAGAUUGGGUCUGCUUGUUUUCUGACAAACGUCAGUUUGUUCGUUUGUUUUUAAAACCUAGCUCAGGUUGAGGUUCGCACCGACAAAAAGUUCGGUUUCGCACUAGGUUGGAACUGGUUCCAACCCCGAUAAUAAACGAAUUCGCUAUAUAGUUAUACUGUGUAGUUUGGCAAGAUUUUCUAUGAAGUUUUUCAGUAAUUUUUUAAAGCGUGAUUUUAAUGUGAUAUGUAUAUACAAAAUAACCAUACUCAAUUUCUACGGAUACAAUUAAAUCGAUGCACAUAGAGAUGGCUCGCAGGAUCUGCUGUCGACUGUGCCUGGCACCGGAUGAGGAAUGUGUUCCAAUUUUUACUAAUUUUGCAGCCGACCGGCAGCGAUUGGAUCAAAAGAUUUUUUCAUGCGUUAGAAUUAAAGUUUUGAAGGAGGACAAUCUUUCUUCAAAAAUUUGUCAUGCCUGUAUUAGCUAUCUGAAUUCCUGGCAAAGUUUCAAAAACCGAUGCGAUGUAGCAGAGAAAAAACAAAAAAGUUGGUCAGAAAUUGAUAGAACCUCGAAUGGUGUCGAUCGGAAUGCCGUCAUUCAGCAUGUAAGGGAACUUUGUCCAGGUGUGACUAUUGAAAGUAUUCCGCAAAAAGUGCAGCCUCAUCCCACGAAUAUACCGGUAGGGAAACCUCCAACAAAGUACUUGCCAAUUGGAAGUACGUCAUCACAGCAGAUGGAUUUGAACUCAAUCAAAGUGGAACCUCAGGAGCAACAUGAUGAUCUUGAUGAGGUAAAUACAUAUUUUUAAGUUGUAUUCGGUCGUUUUAUAAUCAACAUACAUAAUGAAAUUUUCCGGAUGAACAUUUUACCAGAACGAUGCAUUUCCCGGGAAAAAAAACUGUAAUUACAGUAAUGUUAUUAAAAUUUAAUCUUGCUUGAAGCAUACCACCAUAAUACCUAUCAGAUAUUCAACGGAAGUUUCGGCGAUGCAGUCUAGCGAGUUCAAACGAUAAAGUGUUAACUGCAAUUGAACAACAGUCGGAUAGUCCAAAAUUCACCAAAAGUUAGGACCCAAAUUCCUAAAUUUAUUGGUUUUCAAAUAUUCUUCUGGGGGGAAAUUUGUUUUACUGAAUUUUAUCAUAAUUUUCAACACAAAUAAAUAAUGGGGUCUAAAUUAUCGAGACGAUAACCAAUGUUUAAAAAUCUGAUAUCAAUGAUAUUCGAAAUUCGAUAUCGGUUUGAUAUAAAUAAUCAUCGACAUGGUUCUACCGUCAGUGGUUCUACCUCCAGUUGAAGGAUAUGGUAACGAAGAAUUUGUUCAUGACAAACCAAUACGAAAGAUCUCUAACGCUAAUUUUUUAUGGAGUUGUCACCUUGUCACUCCGUACGGAAGGAAAUUGAUAUGUAGGUACGUGAGGAGUGGUAUCGAAUUGAUGACAUGUGCUAUUUUUCGGUACUUGGAGGACAAGUAAGAGACAAGUACGUUUCCAUUUUCGUUCCAUGUGACUCUGAAAGUUCUGUCAACUAUUACAAUCACCCUGGGAGCGUAUGUUAUCAAAAUUUUUAGCGAUAUAGCCUCGAAAAUCGGACAGAUUUUUUUUUUAUGUGGUCGAUGUUUUUGAUUUUCCAAAUGCAUUAUGAAGUUCUCUCAAAAAAUUUGUCACAUAAAUUUCACUGAAAAACCCGCAAUUUUAAAAAUAAUCUGUAAUGCACAUGACGCUAAUAUCAUUCAUUACAAAUCAUAUUAAACGCAAUGUGAUAAGCUUUGAAACUUAGAUGAAGUAUAGAUAAAUUUCAAGUGAUAUUCAUGUAACAUAAAUUCACUUAGAUUCUACAUAAAUUUAUGUGUGAAAAUUUCUAAGUGGUGAUGGCACAAACAAAAUCUAACAUGGCGUCCGAACGGUGCAUUGCUGACAAGUUACUGCUGAAUUUACAAAUUCCAUUGGAAUUAUAAAAUUUUCAGACAAGGAAGUUGUAUUCUUUUCGACAUGAUACAAAAUUUAUUAAUAAUAUGCUUUAAUUUAAAGGUACCAUCUACAAAACAGAUUGGAAAUUGAAAUGUUUAAUAGCUUCCCGGUUGCAUUGUCAAUAAGUUUUAUUUCCGUGUAAAAAUAGCUUUAAUAUAGAUAUAAGAAAGAAAAAUAUACAGCCAUUCCAUAGCAAAACGAUAUAGUGGUUCUCAGAAUUUCGUAACAAUUGUCAGUUUUGUUCCUUAUCGAAAAAUAUUAGACCCGUAUUUUUUUAUUUUCUCAUUCGGGUGCCCAUUUUCCUGCUAAGGUGGUCUAUUUUUUUUCCAAAAAUGGCAUUUUUUUUAAAUCAUAACUUAUGAACCAUUGAACCGAUUUGAAUGAUCAAAAUAUCAAAUGAAAGGUUAUUAAAAAUACUUUCCACAAAAAAAUAUUUUUUUUUAAUUAGAGUUUUGUAUAGAAGAACGAUUGUA